rnacentral:rRNA from 1 species
UACGAAGGGGGCUAGCGUUGUUCGGAUUUACUGGGCGUAAAGCGCACGUAGGCGGAAUGUUAAGUCAGAGGUGAAAUCCUGGAGCUCAACUCCAGAACUGCCUUUGAUACUGGCAAUCUAGAGUCCGGAAGAGGUGAGUGGAACUCCUAGUGUAGAGGUGGAAUUCGUAGAUAUUAGGAAGAACACCAGUGGCGAAGGCGGCUCACUGGUCCGGAACUGACGCUGAGGUGCGAAAGCGUGGGGAGCAAAC